GAUGAACGCUGGCGGCGUGCCUAAUACAUGCAAGUCGAGCGAACAGACGAGGAGCUUGCUCCUCUGACGUUAGCGGCGGACGGGUGAGUAACACGUGGAUAACCUACCUAUAAGACUGGGAUAACUUCGGGAAACCGGAGCUAAUACCGGAUAAUAUAUUGAACCGCAUGGUUCAAUAGUGAAAGACGGUUUUGCUGUCACUUAUAGAUGGAUCCGCGCCGCAUUAGCUAGUUGGUAAGGUAACGGCUUACCAAGGCAACGAUGCGUAGCCGACCUGAGAGGGUGAUAGGCCACACUGGAACGGAGACACGGACCAGACUCCUACGGGAGGCAGCAGUAGGGAAUCUUCCGCAAUGGGCGAAAGCCUGACGGAGCAACGCCGCGUGAGUGAUGAAGGUCUUCGGAUCGUAAAACUCUGUUAUUAGGGAAGAACAAAUGUGUAAGUAACUAUGCACGUCUUGACGGUACCUAAUCAGAAAGCCACGGCUAACUACGUG
rnacentral:rRNA from 1 species